CAAUAGCGUAUAUUAAAGUUGUUGCAGUUAAAAAGCUCGUAGUUGGAUUUCUGGUGGGAGCGAUCGGUCUGGCGCUUAGCGCGAGUACUUGCAUCGUCUCCGGCCAUCCUUGGGGAGAGUCUGUCUGGCAUUAGGUUGUCGGGCAGAGGAUCCUCAUCGUUUACUGUGAAAAAAUUAGAGUGUUCACAGCAGGCUUAUGCCGUUGAAUAUAUUAGCAUGGAAUAAUAAGAUAGGACUUUGGUACUAUUUUGUUGGUUUGCGCACCAAAGUAAUGAUUAAUAGGGACAGUUGGGGGUAUUCGUAUUCCGUUGUCAGAGGUGAAAUUCUUGGAUUUACGGAAGACGAACUACUGCGAAAGCAUUUACCAAGGAUGUUUUCAUUAA
rnacentral:rRNA from 1 species